UAAAGAGUAAGGGUGCUCAGCGCCCGACCUCCAACCCUCUGUCGUUAAAACUACCUUGUUGCUUUGGCGGGACCGCCCGGUCUCCGAGCCGCCGGGGCCCUCACCGGCCCAGGCGAGCGCCCGCCAGAGUUAAACCAAACUCUUGUUAUUAAACCGGUCGUCUGAGUAAAAGUUUUUAACAAAUCAAAACUUUCAACAACGGAUCUCUUGGUUCUCGCAUCGAUGAAGAACGCAGCGAAAUGCGAUAAGUAAUGUGAAUUGCAGAAUUCAGUGAAUCAUCGAAUCUUUGAACGCACAUUGCGCCCCUUGGUAUUCCGAGGGGCAUGCCUGUUCGAGCGUCAUUACACCACUCAAGCACUGCUUGGUAUUGGGCGUCCGUCUCCCGCGAGGGGGGCGCGCCUCAAAGACCUCGGCGGAGCCUCACCGGCUUUGGGCGUAGUAGAAUUUAUUCGAACGUCUUUAAACGGAGAGGACUCCUCAGCCGACCGAAACCUUUUAUAUUUUUCUAGGUUGACCUCGGAUCAGGUAGGGAUACCCGCUGAACUUAAGCAUAUCAAUAAGCGGAGGAAAAGAAACCAACAGGGAUUGCCCUAGUAACGGCGAGUGAAGCGGCAACAGCUCAAAUUUGAAAGCUAGCCUUCGGGUUCGCAUUGUAAUUUGUAGAGGAUGCUUUGGGGCAGCCGCCUGUCUAAGUUCCUUGGAACAGGACGUCAUAGAGGGUGAGAAUCCCGUAUGUGACAGGACAUGGCACCCUAUGUAAAGCUCCUUCGACGAGUCGAGUUGUUUGGGAAUGCAGCUCUAAAUGGGAGGUAAAUUUCUUCUAAAGCUAAAUACCGGCGAGAGACCGAUAGCGCACAAGUAGAGUGAUCGAAAGAUGAAAAGCACUUUGGAAAGAGAGUUAAAAAGCACGUGAAAUUGUUGAAAGGGAAGGGCAAGCAAUCAGACUUGUUCAAGCCGUUCGGCCGGUCUUCUGACCGGUUUACUCGGCUUGGGCAGGCCAGCAUCAGUUUCGGCGGUCGGAUAAAGGCCUAGGGAAUGUGGCCCUCACUUCGGUGAGGGUGUUAUAGCCCUGGGUGUAAUACGGCCAGCUGGGACUG
rnacentral:rRNA from 1 species